rnacentral:rRNA from 1 species
UCGCCUGUUUAACAAAAACAUGUCCCUCUUUAAUUUCUUGGGUCGGCCCUGCUCACUGAAUUUUAAAGAGCCGCUUUAGUGUUAAAGUAGCAUAAUCAAUUGUCCUCUUAUUAAGGUCUAGAAUGAACGGGAGAAUUAUUGAUAAAUUAUAUACACUGAAAUUUAAAAAAUUAAAUUUUAAUUUAUAAUGCUUAAAUUAAUUAAGGGGACGAGAAGACCCUAGGAUCUUUACAGUUGCAAAUUUUAACUGUUUAGUUGGGGAAAUUAGAAAAAUAAACUUUUCUAGAUUUAAACAUUAUAGAUGUUUGUUUAAGAUUAAAGUAAAUUAAGAUAAAAUUACCCUAGGGAUAACAGCGCCAUAACAAGUCAGAUGAUCAGAAUUUUACUUGUGAUUGCGACCUCGAUGUUGAAUUAAAAUUAGAGGCCUGGAAGUUCAGGCCUGAUUCAGUCUGUUCGACUGGUUAAUUUUACGUGAUCUGAGUUCAGACCGGA